UAUGGCCAUAUCACAUUGAAACUUUGGUUCUCAUAUGAUCACCAAAGUUAAGCAAUGUUGAUCCUGGUCAGUACUUAGAUGGAUAACUACUUGGGAAUACCAGAUGCUGUAAG